rnacentral:misc_RNA from 1 species
CAGAGUUGCGAGAACUCCCUAAACCAUUGUGAACGUUAUCCGUACCGUGUGCUUCGGCGGGCGUCCCCGGGGAGGGCUCCCGGCAGCCCCUGGCCCCGAGGGCGGCGGGCGCCCGCCGGAGGUCUCCAAACCUCUUGAUACUUAUAGUGGCACUCUCUGAGUCUUAACAAGAAAUAAGUCA